UGGCUCAGACGGUAAAGCGUCUGCCUGCAAUGCAGGAGACCCAGGUUCGAUCCUUGG
rnacentral:tRNA from 1 species